rnacentral:lncRNA from 1 species
GAACGUGCAAUUGUGUCACUCAAUCACAAUCCAAGCAUAAACUAAAACAAGGCUGAAUCAAAAAUAACUAAAACAAUGAAAACCGAAAACUGAGAAGAAAUUAAGAAAACAAGAAAACGCCUAAGACUUGGCUGCAACGCUGGACUACUUUCGCAAGGCAACACAUAAAUUAGGGCAAGGAAGAUUCGUUUCAAUGAAAACUAAGCCUUAUUUAUAGACUUCAAAUAAAAUCGUGUAAGAUAAGGCAACUUCCAGCUGGACGCGCGCUCUGGAAAAAUCAGCAAACUCUGGAAAUUCAGCUCUGGAAAGUUGACUCUGUCGAUUUUUAGCUCUGGCGCGUAAGUCAGCUCUGGCGAGAAAGUCAGCUCUGGCGAUCUUUAGCUCUGCUCUGAUACGUUUAUUCUGCUCUGGAGAUUUUAGCUCUGAUAGGGAAGUUCAGCUCUGGAGAUCUCAGCUCUGACUCUGCAAGUCGGCUCUGCUCUGUUACAGUGCUGGGCUCGCAGCUCUGCUCUGUUACAGUGCUGGGCUCGCAGCUCAGCUCUGCACACCAGAACACCUAAAAAACGCCAAUUUCAUCCAAAAUUGCACUCUUCCAUCUAUAAAACCUAAAUCUUUUGCAAAGCAUAAAACAACACAUAAAACGCACCAAAUUCCAGAAGAUUUAACUCAAAUCAUGUAUAUGCAAACCCUUAAAAAUAGAACAAUUAAGCAUAAAUCACAUGCUCCUAAGCACAUAUAUCAAGUCAUAACGAUUAAAUAAAAAUCGAAGGAUGAGCUAUGACGACGAACAUAGACGGGCUGCCCUCAUGGGUUUCAUAGCUAGGGUUCGAACCGUUCUUAACUCUUUCAUUAAACAUGCUCAACAAUAUGCUAAGAACAACAUACUAAAAACUCACGACGAUCCGACAUCGUUUCAAAAUAAAGUCGAGAAAUCGACGUUUUUCGACGUUGACAAAUCUCGAAAAUCUAACCAUCAAAACGUAGGUAAGGAUGAUACCUACCUAGAUACGUGCUCGAAAAGGUGCUCGGGGCUCGUCUCCUUGCUCAAAUCGGAGCUCAAAAGCUUCACCAAGCUUUAAUGGAGGAAAAACGUGAGUGUAUUGUGUGUUUGUGCGUGUGUGCGUGAGAGUGGGGAGAGAUGGCUGGCCCACAGCCGCCUAAAUAGAGAGGGGGGGGACCUUUGGGCGGUUGGGGGGUGGUCAAGGUAGGGUAGGCCCAAAUAUUUAGGAUAUUAAUCUCACUUAGUCGUUAAAUAUCUCAUUUCGUCUCGUCACGUCUCGUUUUAACGACUAACUACCCGUACUCUUCGUUACUCACCCUCUCGACUCUCACUCACUUUCAUUAUACUCGUAAUUCUAUAUAAAUAUAGAAAACGCAAGCUCGUUCUUGAAAUUCUGAUAAACGAGCUCGGUUCGUUUAUCGAGAAAUUCUAGUUUACUAUUCACUCAUCGUCCAAAAAUAAAAACUUUCAUUAUUGGACUCGUAUCGAAAAGCUAAGAAUAUUUCUCGACGACGUGCACGUAAGAUUUUGAAAGUCGACAAAAAGACGAAAUAGCAAUAUAUUACUAUUCAUCAUCAAGUCGUGGAUCACUCGGCUUAACUAUCCUUUCUUCCCCUUCUUCUUUAACCCCAUCCCAAGUCGUGGAUCACUCGGCUUAACUAUCCUUAGUUGGGGCGGGCUGCGACAUCUGCACAUGGUCAGCUCUGCAGAAAGUCAGCUCUGCAGAAUUCAGCUGUGCAGCCAUGUCAGCUUUGUAGAAGUCAGCUCUGCAGAAAGUCAGCUCUGCAGCCAGGUCAGCGCUGCGCACCACUUUGAGCCAUAAUACGCAAUUUUUUAUCCAAAAACUCCAACUUAGCAUUUUUCCUCCUGUUUUAUCAAAAGCUCCUACAAAGCAUCAACAAACUCAUAAACGCACCAAAUUCCAGAACUUUUAACUCAAAUUUAGCACAAUCAAACCCCCAAAAUAAGAACAAUUAGGCAUAAAUCAAGCCUUUUUAGCGAAAAACCCCCUUGUUGUACUGUUUAUGAUGGCAUGACAAUUUACAAUUUUAUAAAGCAUGUUAUAUUUCAUAUACGGGCUUAUGUGCCCACUGAGUACUCUCGUACUCAGCCCUGCAUAUAUUUCUAAAUGUGUAGGUUGAGUAGCUGCCGGUUGUGAUGAAGUGACGAGCGAAACUCUUUUGUCUUAUUUUUAUGUAUUAAUGAACUCUGGGGAUACAUGUCUUCAUACAUGUAAUUAGAACCUUAUUCCGUUGCGUACUCAAAAGUUUUAUGUUAUUUUGGCUAAGUCGGAGUUAUCCGAACUUACUAGUUUAUUUGAGUCUAUAUGACUUGAUGCAGCCAGAACAGAGCUAAGCUCGCGCCAGAGCAGAGCGGAAUCCCGCGCCAGACCAGAGCCAAGCUCGCCAGAGCUGAAGUCGUUGAGCCAGAGCAGAACAGAUCGCCAAAGCAGAGUUGAAUAGAUCGCCAGAGCAGAGCAGACUUCCAAAGCAGAGCUGACUGAAGUUCUGAGCAAAGUUAAGUUCCAGAGCUGGCAUUCCAGAGUUGGCGUUUUCAGAGCUGGAGUUCUUCAGAGCUGGAAUUUUCCAGAGCUGGCGUAUUCCAGAGCUGGCGUUUUCGCUAGCCUUGUCUAAUCGUGCUGAACAAGUUUUCUUUUGUUUCCUUGUUUUCUAUUUUCCUUGUGUUUACGUUUAUUUCCUUCAUUAGAUUAGGGUUUAUUUUGCCUAUAAAUAUGGCUGUUACUUGUUUGGACGAGGUUAGCUAAUUUUUGAUAUAUGAUAUUUGUGAGUUAAUCUCUCUUGAGUUCUUCGAAUUCCUCUUGAUUGUGCCAAGACGAAUUCAAUUUAUCGACGUAACGGCGAGUUCAUCAUCCCUCGUCGCGUGUCAUUCAGCGUCCCCGAGUUGCUGCAUCAAUCAUACAUUGGGGUUUAGGGAUCUGUUCUCUAGAUAAUUUCGUAGAUUAGAUUCAGGGGUUUUGGGAUAUUCCACCCUUUAUCGUUCAAUUUAUUUUAUCUCUAAUUUAUCAAGUCUUCCGCGCGUGUUUGUUUGAUCGAACCGGCAGAGCUCAUAGCAAUACCGGCAAGAUUCAGCUCUGCACCGGCGAAGAUCAUAUCAUGACUAAACCUCCGAUACAUUAUAAAUAUCCCUUUUGUUAACAAUGAUAGAAUGCGAUCCUCCCUGAUUGAUUAUUCCUCUUUCUACCCCGCUUCUAAUCUCCCUCCCUUAGUCACGGUUUCCCCGGCUUAAUUAUCCUUAAUUAGGUCCGAUCGUGACAAAAAUAAAGCGAUGUACACGUUUUGUUAAUGGUGAGUUAUACAAUUUUUUACAAUUUUUAUAACCUUUAUAUUAUAUAUAUUUUCAAAAUUGCCACUCAAAUCAAUUUGAAAUUGAGAACUCUCUUUUUAAUAUAGUAUAGAUAUAUAGAUAUAGAUUACACGAUAAAUAAAUAUUUCAUAUAUAAACAUAAAUAAAAAAUUAUAAAAUUUUAAUGAAGAGAUAUAAAAUAACAUAUUUUAAAUUUUAAAUUUUUCAAAACUUAUUCGUUUUAAAUUCAUUUUUGAUGAUUUUUAUACUAUAGUAUUAAAUUUAAAAUGCAUAAUGAAUAUUUUUUUUCAUCAAUCAAAUUUGAUAAUUUUUCGAGCUUUGUAUUGUAUUUGACACCUUGGCCUAUAAAUAUUCUUUAUAUUUUUGGUGUGGGCUUUCGCUCGAGCUCGGCUGCUUUGCUAUGCGGUUUCUCUUGGUUGUUUUUCUUUUGUAGUUUUUGCUUUGUUGUUGUCUUUUCCUCGGUUUGGUUUUUCUGGACCUCCCCUUGUUUGCGUCUGUGCUUUCAAGGUUUUUUGCACUUUCUUCUUCAAUAAAAUUUCUAUUUCAGCCUUGGCCUAUAAAUACCCUUAAAAGAUUCAAGAAAAGACCCUAGACUUCACAUUUUCUUAUAUUGACACUUGGAGAUUGAAGAGACACAAGACUUGAAGAUUGGAAGCAAUAAUUGAAGAUUCAUGGAACCAAUUAGAGGACUUUUACUUUCCAUGGUUUAUUAGAUGCACGAUUGAGUAAUUUUAUCCUCGUCAUUAGUAUUUCUCCAAUCUCCUUUCAAUGGGGAAUAUAAAUCAAACAAAUUUGGUUCAAAUGAUAUAAAUUAGGGUUAAGGUACAGAUACCCCCCUAAACAUGACCCCCUAGAACGUAUACCCCCCAUUCUCCAACUUGGUACAAAUUGCCCCCCAAACUCGACGGAAAGUAUACAACUAACUCCAGCCCACAGACGGACGUUAGACGCCGUCCACAAAAAGGCAGGGCUGAGUUCAAGACUGCAGGGCUGAGUUCAAGAAGGCAGGGCUGAGUUCAAGAGUCAGGGCUGAGUUCAAGAAGGCAGGGCUGAGUUCAAGAGUGCAGGGCUGAGUUCAUGAAGGCAGGGCUGAGUUCAAGAUGGCAGGGCUGAACUCAGCCUGCACUCUUGAACUCAGCCCUGCCUUCUUGAACUCGGCCACACCUUCUUGAACUCAGCCCUGCCUUUUUGUUGACGGCGUCUAACGUCCGUCUGUGGGCUUGUCGCAGCCCGUCCCCUAGCCAGUGAUAGCGUAGACCGGGUAUUGAUACAACUAAAUAAAUUAAUAAGGUAAAAAGAGAAUAUUAGAUUGAACGUCAAGCGGAAGCAAUCACUGAAACGUGUUAAAUCAAGAAAGACGACAUCAUUAUCAAUAAAAAUAUUAUUGGCUUUAUAACUUUUAAAUCAUCGAGAUUCUUGUUAAACUUUACAAAGUAGACAUAGCUAAUUACUCACAAUGACUCGGGAUAUACAGAGUAUCGCAGCAAAAUGCGAACAGACUAUAUGUAUGAAGACAUAUAGCCUAGAGUAAAUUUCUUGAUUAAGUUCAAAAUAAACUUCAACAUCUUGAUGUUACCGCAAGGAAUAUAAUUACGGUAUAAUGAAGAUUAUCUCAAACAAAAUCCCUGCCAGCACCAGUCCAAUCUCUCUCCUCGCUUAUCCUGCACGUUUAGAAAUACAUGCAGGGCUGAGUACAGAAUACUCAGUGGACAUAAGCCGAAAAGCAAUGAAAACUAGCUCUUAGAGCUAUAGAUUGAACUUGCCACAUAAGCAAUACACGAGAAUUUUACUCAAAGAACCCGUGUAAGCAGUUAACAAUCAUAAACAUCAUAAAUAAAUGACCGGUCAAAAUUCUCGUUAUGUAUGUACCACAUCUACGAAUCAUCAUCAUAAAAGGUACUGAGAAGUAGGCCUCCUUCUCAAGUAGCGUGACCGGCCGACCCGAAGGACAGCUCACAAUCACCUCUGACCGGCUGACCCGAAAGACGGCUCACGGUCACCUCUGUGUACACAAUCCCGCUUGUAGCAGGACCCGAAUUCGUCUCAUCAGUAGAGGGUGACAUACAGGCUCAUCGUCAUCAAAACUCGGCAAGUCAAUUAGUUCAACAUCAAUAAAUCUCAAAUUAUUUAUCAAACUCAUAAACAUCAUCAUCAGUAAUGAUUUUCAUCAAACUGAAAUUUAACAGUUAACUCAUAUCAUUUACUUCAUUUCGUAUAAGAGGCCUACGAUACGCAGGUGAUCUCUAUAUACGUAUAGUAAAAAUAAUGCUCACCUGAUGUCCUAGCUUACUCUCGUAGCGUUCGGGGUGGACUCACUGCCGUUCUCUGCUCGUAUCUUCAGAUACCAUCACAUCAGAGUAGUUCAUGAUAAGAAUAAAAGAGAUUAGUCAGAAACUUCCUGACUAAGAAUACCAUUCCUAUCUUAGUACUAUUUCAUCUCCUCAUCACUACACUCCGUCUAUCUCGAUCUCACAUCGUAAACACUUUCUAAGUAAUCACUAUUAUAUUCUCAACUUAUCACCUAAUUUAGGUCUAGGCUCUGUCAAGGAACAACUCAUAGAUAAACAAUCCAUAAGCAUAUAGCAAUCACAUACACAACUCAUUUUUUUUUUUAAAAAUAAAAUAUUUUUAGUCGGGGAAAUUUCCCAAAAAUCUAUUUUAUAAAUCAUUCUUAAACCAAUUAUUCAAAAAUUAACUCACAUAACAAGUUAUGCCAUUUUAUUUCAUUUUUCAUGUAUAAGCUCAAUUCAUCCUCACUAAGCCACAUAUAGGCAUCUUUAAUUCAUAUCUCAUCUCAUAAUCAAAAUCUUAUUCAAUUCACUCUUUCUGCACUGUCUUAACUUAAGAGAAUAAACUGUUUCUCCUCGGAACUAUCCUGGGUUCGAGACUCAUACUAUUGGAAACCCCUUUAAGUCUAGUUUCAUUUAAAAAAAAGUAGGUUGAAAAAAUCCAAGUGGUUUAAGAGAUAUGACCGUUUUCCCACAGCCUACCAUAUUCGGCAGUUUUGUGCAACUGGAAGUUUUGAUUUUUGAAAAAUAGUAGAUCUUGUCAUAAUGACUUGAAAUUUUGUGGGUAGCUAGCUAACAUGUUCAUCUAGUUCAUAUAAAAAUUUGGAAACUAUAAACUCAGGGGAAGCUACUGAAAAGGGUGACUCUAGUAACUGUUUCUUCCAAACUUUCGGUGGAAAGUUGCAGUUGGAGAUUUAUAUUUUAAAAUGGUAGUAAACGAUGUCCAAAUGACCUCAAAUUUUACAUGAACGUUCCUAACACUUAUAUAUACUUACCAUAAAAUUUUAAAGAUUUUUGGUAUACGUUCCUAACACUUAUAUAUACGUUCCUAACCCUGUCGAAUUACAUCAAGUCAGUAGCUCUGUAAGCUAGCCAAAUUAACUCAUCAAACUGCCCACUUAUGCAUGAUAGCCAACUAUACCCUAUUUCUCAUCAAAGUAAUUUAUUUCAAUCUCCAUCAAUCAUCUCUAAUCAUCAUUCUAAUCCAUUAAAUAUCAUCUCAACAAUCUCAAUAGCUCAUAUUCAUAACCAAAUCAACAAUCCAUCCAUGAACUUCAAACUUCUCAAAAUCAUGUAAACUAACUCAUCUAAAAAUUCACAUAUCAAUUUAAAUCCAUCCUUUGCAUGUAGAAAUGGACUAAAUAGGAUCUCAAUAGUAUGAAUAUAUUCUCAAUAUAAGAUUAGAAGAUGAAUUUUUUUUGAAGGGGUAUGAACCCUAAUUUUCGAAAAUUGCAAGAAUGAAGUGGGUGAUGUUUUCUUGCUUGAUCUAUCAAUAUAUACUCAUAUCUAACUCAAAUGAUCUAAGUAAAUCUAAUACUUACUCAAUGAUUCUUGAGUAGAAAAAUAAAAUCCUCCUCUUGACUUCAAGCUUUAGAAUCCUUCAAAUGUGCUCUUGAUUCAAGGAUAUAAGGUGUUUAAAGCUUGCUCUAAUGAUGUUUGUUGGUGUAGAAUUAAUCUAAGAAGCUUGGAACAUGAUCAACAAUGGAGGAAGAAAGAGAAAAGAGUGAGAGAGGGGGGAGAGGCGUGAGGUUUGGGAAGAAUGAGAGAGAUAAAUUAUUUUGUUCAUAAUCCCAAACUUGGUCACUAGGCUAGACAUUUAAUUAAUGCUCAAUAAAUGCU